UACCUAGCCAAUUUGAAAGAGUGGGUCUUGAAUUAGGUCGCUUAGCGGUUGGGUUUAGCCCAUGCCAGUUAGGUCGAUCAUAUGAUGACUGAUUAGAUGAGACCUAAAUCAAAAUCUCUUCAUAAAUAUUAAGUCCAUGGGUCUUCCAUCAUAGUAGACGUGUGGACGUACUACCGACAUUGAUUAUUCUCGACUGGUUACAGUGGUUUAGUUGCAUCGAAAAUAUGCAAUCACUCUAUUAGUAAAGAGUUACUCCAGGAUAAAGAUGGGGUUGGGCUCAAUAACUGUUAGGUGAGGAACCCAAUGACGGCCUUGCACCUGCUUGUGAAUGGUGGAUCG
rnacentral:lncRNA from 1 species